rnacentral:rRNA from 1 species
UACGUAGGGAGCGAGCGUUGUUCGGAAUUACUGGGCGUAAAGAGUGUGUAGGCGGUGCUCUAAGUUCGGUGUGAAAUCUCCCGGCUUAACUGGGAGGGUGCGCCGGAAACUGGAGUGCUCGAGCGUGGGAGAGGAAAGCGGAAUUCCUGGUGUAGCGGUGAAAUGCGUAGAUAUCAGGAGGAACACCUGCGGUGUAGACGGCUUUCUGGACCAUUGCUGACGCUGAGACACGAAAGCGUGGGUAGCAAACAGG